GUGCAGUGGUUUUGGUCGCUGUAGAUGAAGUAGUUUAAUAUGGUGCUGCUCUUAACAGACUGCAAACUGCACAACCAUGCU
rnacentral:miRNA from 14 species